GAUGAACGCUGGCGGCGUGCCUAAUACAUGCAAGUCGAGCGAACGGACGAGAAGCUUGCUUCUCUGAUGUUAGCGGCGGACGGGUGAGUAACACGUGGAUAACCUACCUAUAAGACUGGGAUAACUUCGGGAAACCGGAGCUAAUACCGGAUAAUAUUUUGAACCGCAUGGUUCAAAAGUGAAAGACGGUCUUGCUGUCACUUAUAGAUGGAUCCGCGCUGCAUUAGCUAGUUGGUACGGUAACGGCUUACCAAGGCAACGAUGCAUAGCCGACCUGAGAGGGUGAUCGGCCACACUGGAACUGAGACACGGUCCAGACUCCUACGGGAGGCAGCAGUAGGGAAUCCUCCGCAAUGGGCGAAAGCCUGACGGAGCAACGCCGCGUGAGUGAUGAAGGUCUUCGGAUCGUAAAACUCUGUUAUUAGGGAAGAACAUAUGUGUAAGUAACUGUGCACAUCUUGACGGUACCUAAUCAGAAAGCCACGGCUAACUACGUG
rnacentral:rRNA from 1 species